rnacentral:lncRNA from 1 species
UUUUAUAGCUGGAAAAGAAUGAAGAACAUGUACAGAAACAAAGUCAGGAAGAGGAUUGGUUGCUUAAGUUACUUUUUUUGUAAGACGGAGAUGGGAGACAGAAUAAAAGAAAACAACUGAUGGAUUCCCAGCAGGUUGUAUCAGGUUAGCUUUUCUGUAUGGGGAUUCAGGCAAACAACUUCCUGAUCAUGCCACUUGAAACCAGUCUGUUUGGAUAAUUUGGUUAGUAUUGCUCUAAUCCUUAUUUCUCAGAAGUUCAACUAAACAGCUCAGCUUCAGCUUGGAGAGAGGUGGAACUGUAGCAAGAGUGGCUCCGAAGUGACUGGCAGCCUGGCAUGAAGGUGCACUGCAGGAGUUUAAGCCAAAAGAACAGCCUCCUACGGCUUCAAGAGAAGAGGCGCCACCUGCGUUAGGACACUGGACUGCAGGUCACUUUGGUAUGAUGACGAGACCAUCAUGAGUCCUUGCACCAUUUUUAACUUGGCCCAGUUCUUACUGUGUGUGCAGCUAGUGUCUUAGCAAACUGCCUGAAGGAGAAAGGGAGGCAACCGGAACUGUCCCCUCAGCUCAGCCCCACAGCCCACCCCAGCACGAGCCCUGACAGGUGCCACAGCCACCACCGGUGGGUAAGCGUGGAUUCACACUGAGUCAUGGGCCACAGGCAGGACAGCAGGCUGGGCUGUUUAUUGCUCUGUUUGUGCAGAGCUCUGGGAUCUUCUCGAACUGACCCCUGGAGGACAGAGGUAAUCUCUGCUAGACUCUUGAGUGCUGAGGUCCAAGGGUGACUGAAAAAGUAACAAAAACCACAAACAGGACAGAACAAUCGGAGAAGCUGCCUGGCCAUCCCAGAACUGCCUUUGUUUUGGGGAUUCCAGUCACUAGGAAUCUAGAGAUGAAAAGAGACUCUGGAGAAUUCCAGUCGGUGCCUCACACGUCAUCAGUACCGCCCAUGCCCCACCUCCCAUCAGAGGUCAUAGAACCCCCUGCCUCUCUGCAUCUGGCCGAAGGAGACGGCCCAGCCGCCAUGGGUUCUGUGCUCCUGUCCACGUCCUCAGUAAACCUGUUCGUUUUGUACUUUUUGCUUCUCUCUUGCACCAGAAUACUCUAACAGUUAAUGGCACUGUAUCUUCUGUGGGAUAAAGUGUUUUAAGCACUCGCCAUCUGUUUCCAUCCCCGUGCACAUGAGUCCCGAGUGUGUAGUAACUGAAGAAUGCACGGCGGAGCCUUCAGAGAGCUUAGCAACCAACUCGGGGAGGUUCUCAAAGAAAACCCACUUUAAUACCUGUACGCGAUUUGUUUCUAGAAAGAUAAAGUUGGAAAAUGAUUGCCAAAAACGUCAUUCA